GGCAACCUGCCUGUAAGACUGGGAUAACUUCGGGAAACCGGAGCUAAUACCGGAUAAUCCUUUUCCUCUCAUGAGGAAAAGCUGAAAGACGGUUUACGCUGUCACUUACAGAUGGGCCCGCGGCGCAUUAGCUAGUUGGUGAGGUAACGGCUCACCAAGGCGACGAUGCGUAGCCGACCUGAGAGGGUGAUCGGCCACACUGGGACUGAGACACGGCCCAGACUCCUACGGGAGGCAGCAGUAGGGAAUCUUCCGCAAUGGACGAAAGUCUGACGGAGCAACGCCGCGUGAGUGAUGAAGGUUUUCGGAUCGUAAAACUCUGUUGUUAGGGAAGAACAAGUACAAGAGUAACUGCUUGUACCUUGACGGUACCUAACCAGAAAGCCACGGCUAACUACGUGCCAGCAGCCGCGGUAAUACGUAGGUGGCAAGCGUUGUCCGGAAUUAUUGGGCGUAAAGCGCGCGCAGGCGGUCCUUUAAGUCUGAUGUGAA
rnacentral:rRNA from 1 species